CCCCAGGGGGGCCUAUUCCCUGGACCCACGCUCCCGCUGCUCCCUGCUCGGUGCCUGGGGGCCCUGCCUGAGCGAAGUGGGGAGCUGUGCCUCUGUUGCAGGAAGAUCACCUCGGGGAAGGCUUUCUGUGGCCCAUCUUCGCCUCCAGCUGCUGAAGAGGAUUUGUUCAGAGACCUUGAAAUGGUGUCUUUUUUCUUUUCUUUUUUUUUUUUUUUUUGCAUUUCUGAGCCUGUUCUCCUCAUAAAAAUGGCCAUUACCCAUUCUCUCCCUUACCUGCUUAAUCACAAUGCACCUUUCAGUCCUAGAGGAACGGAAAGGAUUAGUGGUCACAGGUGAGCCCCACCUGAGUGGACAUCGAGCCAUGAAAUGAGUGUUCCACUGGUUUGUGGCUAGAGGGCUUGUCAGCAGUGACAUCCUUGCUAUAAAUGCCAUUUCCAGGCAGAGAGGCACACAGCUGACGACCCGUGUCACAGCAGACCAAUUCUGUUUGUAUCUGAGGCAAAAGACUUGGUCCUGGAUAAGUCACACAGCCUUCAAAAUAUUGACCACUUGCGUGUUAAUUAUCCUUCCUCCACCCGGCAAGCACCAAAGACAGCACCAGUGCGGCCCUCACACUGCCGCUUCUGACGGUCACAGAAUCAGGCAGGCAGAGGCCUCCACUUUACAGAGACCCCCUUCCCCAGUGCCAUGUGGAGGAUGGAUCUGAAGAGGAGGAAGCUGGGAGCAAGUGACGGUACAGCUGUUGCAGUGGUGCAGGUGAGCUGUGACGGUUGGAACUUGGCAGUGUUAGUAGUCCUGGAGG